UACUACAAAAAUAAUAUAUGAUGUCACUAUUUAUGGUGUCGCAUUUAAAAUAAUGACACCAUUGAACUUAAAAUUUAUAAAGGUGACACAUCAUAUAAAAAAUCUUCAAUUAGGAUAGUUAGAUGAUGCUAAUUUCAUAUUUACGGUGUCAUUUUUUGGAGGUGACACCAUAUGAAAUAAAAAGUUUUAAAUUUUAUAACUCAAUGGGCCCUUUUUAAAAAUAGUGAGUAGGAACAAUUUAUGAAAAGUCCAUUGUUUCCAUAUACACAUUAACUAAUAUAAAAGAUCUUGUUGCUUAACCCUAACCAUCGUUUUCUUCUCCUUCUUCUCACACCCAUGGUCGGCACACCCAUAAUUGAUAUUCUUUGCUUCGUAAAAUCUCGGGUAUACACUCUUGGGAGGACAAUAUGAAGAAUAAAAAGAAAGGAGAAAAAGGCAACAAGAUUUAGGUUUUUAGAUAUGACUCUUAUGUCAUACAUUAUAGGACAUAAAUGUUACUUUAUUUGGAAUUGAGAAUUUUGGGUUUUUGGAUGCAACUCUUGUGUCAUUUUAUGGUUAGCCGGUUUUAUGCAUAUGAAAUGCAAGUAUACAUGAAUGUUGGGAAGCUUAACAUUUCUAAAUCAUGUUUUAAUGUGUAUUCACUUUUCUUUUUUA